AUUGAACGCUGGCGGCAUGCUUUACACAUGCAAGUCGAACGGUAACAGCACUUCGGUGGCUGACGAGUGGCGAACGGGUGAGUAAUACAUCGGAACGUGCCUAGUAGUGGGGGAUAACUACUCGCAAGAGUAGCUAAUACCGCAUGAGAUCUAAGGAUGAAAGCAGGGGACCUUCGGGCCUUGCGCUACUAGAGCGGCUGAUGGCAGAUUAGGUAGUUGGUGGGAUAAAAGCUUACCAAGCCGACGAUCUGUAGCUGGUCUGAGAGGACGACCAGCCACACUGGGACUGAGACACGGCCCAGACUCCUACGGGAGGCAGCAGUGGGGAAUUUUGGACAAUGGGCGCAAGCCUGAUCCAGCAAUGCCGCGUGCAGGAUGAAGGCCUUCGGGUUGUAAACUGCUUUUGUACGGAACGAAAAGCCCUCUUCUAAUACAGGAGGGUCAUGACGGUACCGUAAGAAUAAGCACCGGCUAACUACGUG
rnacentral:rRNA from 1 species